rnacentral:rRNA from 1 species
GUCGAACGCGAAAGGGACUUCGGUCCCGAGUAGAGUGGCGCACGGGUGAGUAACGCGUAAGUAAUCUACCCCUGUAUUCGGAAUACCCCACCGAAAGGUGAGCUAAUACCGGAUACGUUUAUCUUGAUGCGAAUGAUGAUAAAGAAAGGUGGCCUCUUCUUGAAGGCUACUGUACAGGGACGAGCUUGCGUACCAUUAGCUAGUUGGUGGGGUAAUGGCCUACCAAGGCGACGAUGGUUAGCGGGUCUGAGAGGAUGAUCCGCCACACUGGAACUGGAACACGGACCAGACUCCUACGGGAGGCAGCAGUGAGGAAUAUUGCGCAAUGGGGGCAACCCUGACGCAGCGACGCCGCGUGGAUGAUGAAGGCCCUUGGGUCGUAAAAUCCUGUCAGAUGGAAAGAAAUGCCACAGGGCUAAUAUCUUUGUGGUUUGACGGUACCAUCAAAGGAAGCACCGGCUAACUCCGUGCCAGCAGCCGCGGUAAUACGGAGGGUGCAAGCGUUGUUCGGAAUUACUGGGCGUAAAGCGCGCGUAGGCGGUUUGCUCAGUCAGAUGUGAAAGCCCUCGGCUUAACCGGGGACGUGCAUUUGAAACUGGCAGACUUGAGUAUUGGAGGGGGUGGUGGAAUUCCCGGUGUAGAGGUGAAAUUCGUAGAUAUCGGGAGGAAUACCGGUGGCGAAGGCGACCACCUGGCCAGAUACUGACGCUGAGGUGCGGAAGCGUGGGGAGCAAACAGGAUUAGAUACCCUGGUAGUCCACGCCGUAAACGAUGUCAACUAGGUGUUGGGAUGGUUAAUCGUCUCAUUGCCGCAGCUAACGCAUUAAGUUGACCGCCUGGGGAGUACGGUCGCAAGAUUAAAACUCAAAUGAAUUGACGG